GAUGAACGCUGGCGGCGUGCCUAAUACAUGCAAGUCGAGCGAGUGAACCUAACUGGUUCCUCAGGGGUGAUGUCAGCGGAUCUAGCGGCGGACGGGGGAGAAACACGUUGCCAACCUGCCUGUAAGACUGGGAUAACUCUCGGAAACGCGAGCUAAUACCGCAUGAUACUUUGUACUGCAUGGUUCGAAGAUGAGAGGCGGCGCAAGCUGCCUCCUACCGAUGGGCCCGCGGCGCAUUAGCUAGUUGGUGCGGUAACGGCUCACCAAGGCGACGAUGCGGAGCCGACCGGUGCGGGGGAUCGGCUCCCCCAGACCGGAGACACGGCCCAGACCCCUCCGGGAGGCAGCAGUAGGGAAUCUUAUGCAAUGGACGAAAGUCUGACGUAGCACAGCCGAGUGGGGGACGAAGGUUCGCGGAUCGGAAAUCUCUGCUGUUAGGGAAGAACGAUUACGUGAGUAACUUCUGGUACUUUGACGGUACCGAACGAGAAAGCCCCGGCUAACUCCGUG
rnacentral:rRNA from 1 species